CAAGCUUCAAAUACAAUAUGUUUCAGGAUGGUUGCUGGAAAAAUGAAAAAUAAAAAAUAUAAAAACAGGCCCUCAGAGGUAUUUCAACCAGAGAAGCUUCUUGUAAAUGGAACAACAACAACAAAAAGACAUAUUAUUUGAAAGGAAUCUCUUUUUUUGUGUUUUAAUCUGGAAUAGAAAAAACAGUUUUGAAAUGUACAGUCCAACAUUUUUCAAGUAAAAACAAACCAAACCAACAGAUAAAGGAAAACAACCAAAAAAACCAACAGCCUGCUAGCCCAGAAUAAAGACUUUCUGAAAAUGGGAUAAUGAUGAAAGAGGCUCCAAUUGAAA
rnacentral:lncRNA from 1 species